GUUCAUGCCCGAAAGGGUAGACCUCCCACCCUUGUGUAUUAUUACUUUGUUGCUUUGGCGAGCUGCCUUCGGGCCUUGUAUGCUCGCCAGAGAAUACCAAAACUCUUUUUAUUAAUGUCGUCUGAGUACUAUAUAAUAGUUAAAACUUUCAACAACGGAUCUCUUGGUUCUGGCAUCGAUGAAGAACGCAGCGAAAUGCCGAUAAAUAAUGGGAAUUGCAGAAUUCAGUGAAUCAUCGAAUCUUUGAACGCACAUUGCGCCCCUUGGUAUUCCGGGGGGCAUGCCUGUUCGAGCGUCAUUUCAACCCUCAAGCUUAGCUUGGUAUUGAGUCUAUGUCAGUAAUGGCAGGCUCUAAAAUCAGUGGCGGCGCCGCUGGGUCCUGAACGUAGUAAUAUCUCUCGUUACAGGUUCUCGGUGUGCUUCUGCCAAAACCCAAAUUUUUCUAUGGUUGACCUCGGAUCAGGUAGGGAUACCCGCUGAACUUAAGCAUAUCAAUAAGCGGAGGAAA
rnacentral:rRNA from 1 species